CGGCCCGGCCGGGAGCAGGGCGGGCCGCCUCGGCUCGGGGCUGGCGCCGGGGAUACCGCCUGGGACUGGACAUGGUUGUGAGCAAGGAGCAGGGCGUAACCCCGUGCGCCGCCUUGUCGCCCCCGGGGGUGGUAGGGGUGCCUGCCCCUGCGCUAAGGUUGGUUUUCCGUCCAGGUGUCCCAGCGGCAGGUGCUUAGGCUGGGAGGUUGUGACAGACACAGCUGCUGCAGCCCACGCUCUGAAGGUUAAGUGUGAGAAGGCUCUGUGUGACGGCCCGCUUCCGUCCUGCAGCAGGGCCCCUGGGAGCAGAGGGGACGGGGCAAGCACUCCCUGGAUGGUGUCGGCACUCUGAGCCGACGCGGCCUGCAGCAGCACACACAGCACUCACGCAAGGGCAGAUCCAGGGACUUUUGCCUUCACGAUGAUUGGUACCAAGCUUUGCUUCAAUUAUUAAAACCAAGAUCACGAUUAUAACAACUCAA